rnacentral:rRNA from 1 species
AUUGAACGCUGGCGGCAGGCCUAACACAUGCAAGUCGAACGAGUGGCGGACGGGUGAGUAAUGUCUGGGAAACUGCCCGAUGGAGGGGGAUAACUACUGGAAACGGUGGCUAAUACCGCAUACCAUCGGAUGUACCCAGAUGGGAUUAGCUUGUUGGUGGGGUAACGGCUCACCAAGGCGACGAUCCCUAGCUGGUCUGAGAGGAUGACCAGCCACACUGGGACGGAGACACGGCCCAGACUCCUACGGGAGGCAGCAGUGGGGAAUAUUGCACAAUGGGCGCAAGCCUGAUGCAGCCAUGCCGCGUGUAUGAAGAAGGCCUUAGGGUUGUAAAGUACUUUCAGCGGGGAGGCGUUACCCGCAGAAGAAGCACCGGCUAACUCCGUGCCAGCAGCCGCGGUAAUAC